rnacentral:lncRNA from 1 species
AGGAGGCGAGGAGGGCAGGCACACAGUGUGCCAGUGUGUUUAUACUUUAUACGGCGGUUCACGUGCAUGGGCUGCUCAGCCAGGCCAGGCCUCGGCCCGUAAAGUUUCUUUUUUUUUUCCCUUGGGCCUUGGCCGAUGAGCAAUUGAUUACAAGGGGAAGAAGGGUCCAGAGGCCGGCCACGACCAUCUUGACUUGUGCUAAGCAGGCCCAGAUUGUUCUUCACCCCAAUUUCAUUCCAUUCAGGGUCUCCUUUUCUCAGGAGUUGGGCGACGGGCUGGGCUAUAUAAUAAUCUAGGAAAGUUCUUCUCAAUGACCCCAAGUCCUAAUGCUGCAGCCUAAGCUUCUGUAUUAUAUUUUCCGUUUUUUAGUUACGUUUUUUUUCAAGACAAAUAGAUAUGACGUCCGGUAGCAAAGUUACACGCAAGUUAACACCUCAUCUAGGUAUAUUAUUAGUAUAACAGUGAGUGGAUCCAAUUCAUCCCCAACAAGAAGAUAGAUACGAAUAGCACAACGUAGACCACAGGAACAUUUCAAAGGAUACAUAUGUCCAAUCCAAUCAACAAUUUCGUGUGGGAUGAGUCUACUUCUUCGUCGUCCCAUCUCAUCUCAUGUACAGUACAGUACAUAUAUGGCAGACAAGGAACCAAUCCCACCGUGCUUGUUCUCUGGGAAUCCUGCAUAACAUAGUAGUGCUCGUUUGUGGUGUAGAUUUGUUCAGACCAACCGAACAGGCUUAGGAACAGAGCUGAUCGAUGUUGUUAUGUUACGUCGUCCUUGACCCAACGUCAACGUGUGCAGUAGCCAGUAGCAUAACGGCGGACGAAAAUAGCUUUUAACUCAAAAUGUGUGUACACCACUAGGUAAGUAGGUAGCACAACUCAACUUGGGCCUUGUUUAGUUCCGAAAAAAUGUUGAGAAAACGACACUGUAGCACUUUCGUUUGUAUUUGACAAAUAUUGUUCACUCAUGGACUAACUAGGCUCAAAAGAUUUGUCUCAUCAAUUCCGACCAAACUGUGCAAUUAGUUUUUAUUUUCGUCUAUUUUUAAUACUCCAUGCAUGCGUCUAAAGAUUCGAUGUGACAGAAAAUGUGAAAAAUUUUGCAAAAUUUUCAAGGAACUAAACAAGACGUUGAGGAGUGCAAAUAAAAAGACGUGGACAUGGACACUGUUCAACCUUAAGAUAUGCAUGCUCCUAUAUAGUCUUAUCAACCAUCCGGUUUGCUUGGCAACUCUAGUAUACGUACUCUGCUCAUCACACUAUAAAAGAGCGAGUAAUUUAUAAAAGGUUACUUCUUCAUAAUAACCGUUCGAUCUAUACAUUAUGCUAUAUGAGCCCUCCAUCCUCCAUGAUCUUACAUAUAUAAGAUGUAAGACUCCUCCUAAAUCAAAAUUUAUUCUAAUAUAUACAUAGUCCGAUUUGAAUAUGUAUUUUGGUUCCAAUACAAUACAUGGACACAUUUGCAGUCUACACGAAGGGUUUUCUCGGUUUUCACGGUUUCAUCCUAUUUCUAUUCUUUUUGAAUUUAUUUAUUAAUCUUUGUCAUGUGUCAUCUCCGUUGCAUCUUCCUAGCACAACUCUCGUCCAGAGUCCAUUGAGGAGUUUUUCUCCGGUUUAAUUUUAUUUAAUCUUUUUCAUGUUUCAUUUCCAUUGCAUCUUCCUAACACAACUCUCGUCCAGAGUCCGUUCAGGAGUUUUUCUCCGGAUUUUUUCCUUUUCAUUUUGAUUUUUCACAUGUCUUUUUUUCUCUUUUCAAUUUACGUUCCAUUGUUUUCUCCUUUCCCUUAUAAUUUUAAAAAAAUUUGUUGUGUCUUUUUUUGUGUUUUUCCAUUUUCUUUUUCUUCAAACUGGAAAGCUAUUAGGUUAUAGUAUGAUAGGAUAUGUGUUUAGGUGUAUCACACCCAUAUAAAGUAAAAGGAGUAUUUUCUAACUAAUAUUUUCUACCUUUUGCAAUAUACCCCCAUACUCGUGUAUAUAAUCAGGUCCCGAAAAUAGCACGUGUCCAUUGACAAUGAGGAGCCAGAUGUCAAGAUGUGUCCAAAGAUGGUACGAAGUUUGCUUCUAAGACGUAUCACAGUAAAUGACAAGUUCAUUAAACAAAUCCCUAGAUUGUUCUGUUGAAUAUGUUCCAAAUUCAGUUGCACAUUAUAAAGGCCGACUUUUGAUGGAGCGAAGCAGAGGCAGAAGUUACCCAUUGGUGUAUGCCCGUCACUUGGAGGUGUGGGGGGCUUACCCCCGCGGUACGGUACAUAUGCCCAAAUUAGGGUUCCAAAGAUUACGAUCUUGUAAGCCAUCGCACGGCGUCGUAACCCAACUCUUGAUAAUAGUGAGGAGUGUUUGUUAGCUGGCGUCUGUGGUUUUUCCCUUUCGUAUUGGAGUAGUUUUCCACGUUAAAUCUUGUGUCUCCGCUGUGAUUUCAUCGUGUGUUCUUCGUCGUUUAUCCGCCGUCAUUCACAACAUGUUCAGGUGAUGGUACAAGUAAUACAUUCAGUUGCAACACAUGGGCAUAUUACACCAUACUAUAUGAGCCCUCUAUUAUGCGUGAUCAUACUCUUCCUUCAUAACAACCAUUCGAUCUACAUUUGUGCUAUAUGAGCCCUCCUUCAACCAUGAUCUUACAUGAAAUAUGUAAUUGCCAUCUACAUUUAUUGCAUAAGGACAUUCCAAUUACAUUUGAAAUAAUAGUUUUUUAGAAACACGUGCGUGUCGCACGUGCAUAUUUGCUAGUCUAAUAUAUGCCUGAUCAAACUCUCAGAUGUUUUCACUAAACUCUUCACUGCACGCAUGCUGUAUAGUAUCGCUAGCAUUUCAAAUUAGGCCUUGUUUAGUUGGCAAAUUUUUUUUGUUUUUGGGUACUGUAGUAUUUUGUUUUUAUUUGACAAAUAUUGUCUAAUCGCGGAGUAACUAGGCUCAAAAGAUUCAUCUCACAAAUUACAGGUAAACUGUGCAAUUAGUUUUUAUUUUUGUCUAUACCUAAUGCUUCAUACAUGCGACCAAAGAUUCAAUGUGAUGGAGAAUCUUGAAAAUUUUUACGAACUAAACAAGACCUUAGUUAAUAGCAAUUGCGCCGAAUAAAGUGUCACACACACAUCAUACCUCAUGAUGAAACCCCCUUUAUAAAAUGGAAAAACUUGGUGAUCCGCAUCAUCUAGCCCUACGAGGACGUCACGUACAGGCACCUGCUGUGUUGACUGUUGAUGCUGACUGAUGGAGCCAUGCACGUUACAUGGGCCCAAAUGAAUCUGCUUAAGUAUACCCGAUCUCGUGUUGUCCAUUCGCUCCAGCUAAGCAAUUGCAG